rnacentral:rRNA from 1 species
CGGGGUGAGUAAUGUCUGGGAAACUGCCUGAUGGAGGGGGGUAACUACUGGAAACGGUAGCUAAUACCGCAUAGCGUCGCAAGACCAAAGAGGGGGACCUUCGGGCCUCUUGCCAUCGGAUGUGCCCAGAUGGGAUUAGCUAGUAGGUGGGGUAACGGCUCACCUAGGCGACGAUCCCUAGCUGGUCUGAGAGGAUGACCAGCCACACUGGAACUGAGACACGGUCCAG